rnacentral:rRNA from 1 species
GGGGUGAAAGGCCAAUCAAACCGGGAGAUAGCUGGUUCUCCCCGAAAGCUAUUUAGGUAGCGCCUCGUGAACUCAUCUUCGGGGUAGAGCACUGUUUCGGCUAGGGGUCAUCCCGACUUACCAACCCGAUGCAAACUACGAAUACCGAAGAAUGUUAUCACGGGAGACACACGGCGGGUGCUAACGUCCGUCGUGAAGAGGGAAACAACCCAGACCGCCAGCUAAGGUCCCAAAGUCAUGGUUAAGUGGGAAACGAUGUGGGAAGGCACAGACAGCCAGGAU